GACGAACGCUGGCGGCGUGCUUAACACAUGCAAGUCGAACGAAGCUCGAUUACGGAUUCUUCGGAUGAAGUAUGAUAUGACUGAGUGGCGGACGGGUGAGUAACGCGUGAGUAACCUGCCCUUCAGAGGGGGAUAGCGUUUGGAAACGAACGGUAAUACCGCAUAAUGUAUUUUGACCGCAUGAUCGAAAUACCAAAGAUUUAUCGCUGAAGGAUGGACUCGCGUCUGAUUAGGUAGUUGGUGGGGUAACGGCCUACCAAGCCGACGAUCAGUAGCCGGACUGAGAGGUUGAUCGGCCACAUUGGGACUGAGACACGGCCCAGACUCCUACGGGAGGCAGCAGUGGGGAAUAUUGCACAAUGGGCGCAAGCCUGAUGCAGCAACGCCGCGUGAAGGAAGACGGUUUUCGGAUUGUAAACUUCUGUUCUUAGUGAAGAAUAAUGACGGUAGCUAAGGAGCAAGCCACGGCUAACUACGUG
rnacentral:rRNA from 1 species